rnacentral:rRNA from 1 species
UAGUCCACGCCCUAAACGAUGUAUACUCGAUGUUUGGAUUUAUUUCUGGGCAUCCAAGGGAAACCAUUAAGUAUACCACCUGGGGAGUACGUCGGCAACGAUGAAACUCAAAGGAAUUGACGGGGGCCCGCACAAGCGGUGGAGCAUGUGGUUUAAUUCGAUGAUACGCGAGGAACCUUACCAGGGCUUAAAUGCAGUUGGACAGGGGUGGAAACACCCCCUUCUUCGGACUGAUUGCAAGGUGCUGCAUGGUUGUCGUCAGCUCGUGCCGUGAGGUGUCAGGUUAAGUCCUAUAACGAGCGCAACCCCUGUGGUUAGUUGCCAGCGAGUAAUGUCGGGAACUCUAGCCAGACUGCCGGUGCAAACCGUGAGGAAGGUGGGGAUGACGUCAAAUCAUCACGGCCCUUACGUCCUGGGCUACACACGUGCUACAAUGGUAGGUACAGAGAGCAGCCACUGCGCGAGCAGGAGCGAAUCUAUAAAACCUAUCUCAGUUCGGAUCGGAGUCUGCAA